UACGUAGGGUGCAAGCGUUGUCCGGAAUUAUUGGGCGUAAAGAGCUCGUAGGCGGUCUGUUGCGUCGGCUGUGAAAACCCGGGGCUCAACUCCGGGCCUGCAGCCGAUACGGGCAGACUAGAGUUCGGCAGGGGAGACUGGAAUUCCUGGUGUAGCGGUGAAAUGCGCAGAUAUCAGGAGGAACACCGGUGGCGAAGGCGGGUCUCCGGGCCGAUACUGACGCUGAGGAGCGAAAGCGUGGGGAGCGAACAGG
rnacentral:rRNA from 1 species